rnacentral:lncRNA from 1 species
GGAAACCUCACUUAAAUUUCUGCUGAAGCCUAUUUGGCAGUAAAACUCUACUGUCAUGCUGCAUGAUAGAUCAUGCUCUGGAAAAUGUACUCCUUGGUGGGAAUAGCCAGAUCAUUUUGAUUAGCUCAACUACUUGUCUUGUGAAAUUUGGCACCAUGCUGCACUUCGCUGGAAGCCCGAACAGCAGGCACCAGUUGCAGUUUGUUUGUCAGGCGCGCAGAAUGAGGACAAGACUGCAGAGCUGUUGCUGAUGCACAGGAUACAACGGCCACAGCAGAUCAGAGCUGACGGAGCCAAACCGGAAAAGCAGUGGGGACAGCAAUGCCUGCAAGCACAGGGUGGAGCAGCCAAGAGAAGCUGUCCCAGUGCAGAAGCUCUCUUGGGCUGGUGCAUGUGGCUACCCAGGCUUCUGGGAUGGUGUUU